rnacentral:rRNA from 1 species
GACGAACGCUGGCGGCGUGCUUAACACAUGCAAGUCGAACGAUGAAGCUGGAGCUUGCUCUGGCGGAUUAGUGGCGAACGGGUGAGUAACACGUGAGAAAUCUGCCCUUGACUCUGGGAUAACUGCGGGAAACUGUAGCUAAUACCGGAUACUUUCCCUGGUGGGCAUCCACUGGGGAAGAAAGAAUUUCGGUCAAGGAUGAUCUCGCGGCCUAUCAGCUUGUUGGUGAGGUAAUGGCUCACCAAGGCGACGACGAGUAGCCGGCCUGAGAGGGUGACCGGCCACACUGGGACUGAGACACGGACCAGACUCCUACGGGAGGCAGCAGUGGGGAAUAUUGCGCAAUGGGCGCAAGCCUGAUGCAGCAACGCCGCGUGAGGGAUGAAGGCCUUCGGGUUGUAAACCUCUUUUAGCAGGGAAGAAGCGAAAGUGACGGUACCUGCAGAAAAAGCACCGGCUAACUACGUGCCAGCCGCCGCCGUAA